UUGGACAUGUGCUACAGACAGAACAGAUAUUUUCACGUGCCAUUUUUCCAUGGUAACAUGCAGACCAAACCGAGGCUGCUACAUGUUGCAAAGGCAAAUGCAGUUCACAACACAGCUGAUCACUGGUGAUUGAAGACUUUUGGAUAGGAGAACGUGACUGACAUCCAGCAACUGGUCAACAUAACUGCUAUGAAGAUCUCUGCCCUAGGAAGAAACAGGCACUACAGAUCAACUGCUGCACAGUAAUGUGACUGCAAGAAGGCCAGAGGAAAAGUUAGACCUCAUGCUCUAACUUUUAUUUUCCACACCCUCCACAAUAGUAUACUUACACAACUAUCUUGCCCAGCCUUAUCUGACCUUAUAUCUCUGCACAGUGGUUAGGAAAGGAGGCCGGGAAGAAGAGUUGUGAGCUAUUCCUGCCUCUCAGUUGCACUUAGCAUGUGAUGGGAUCUGCCAAAUUUCACUGCUGAGCAUCUGACAGGCAGCAGAGACAGAGCUGCUACUCUGAGCUCUCUGCAUGCAGGAGCAGUUCAGUUGUACUGAGCUCUCAGGCAGUGGCCAAAAAAUGCCAGUGGCAGGAUUCCUUAAAGGGCAAUGUCCCUCAUCCACCUCAGAGACCGGCCGGGACAGCUGAGCCCCGGCUCGCACCACCGCCACCUGCUGCUCGGCGCUGUCCGAUGCAGCUCAGCCAGCGAAAAUUCACAUCUUGAAAAUUAAUUACCGUCUGACAAACGCACCAAAAUACAGCAGUAAAAUUUAACACUCUGCUUAUUUUCUAAUAUUUUCCCUUAAUGUCUCUCCGAGAAUUACUCUUUACAGUAGCUGAAGAGUAUACUGUACUGUACUUGCACAAAAUACACUUGCAUGCACACAUGCAGGGAAGAAGCGUGGCUGAUGGCUUGAAGGCUAGUAACAUAAACUGGAACUAGCCAGCAUAGAAAAGAAUAUGUAUUUUGCGUUAUGUUACUCAUGCUAGUGAAAACAGGUAAAAAGAAGCUGUUGGGUUUGUUUGUUUGUUGUUUUUUAAAGGAAAUAUCUUCCAAAGUUCAGGCAUUUUCAACUUUCCAGAAUUACACAAAUUGUGAUGUUUUUACAUUUACAGCUCCAUUGCUAUUGAAUUUAUAGCUCCUCCUAUCUAUAAAUGCAUGGAUCCAUACCCUGGGUCUCUUUAAUACCUAUAUCGAUCAAUUUAGAUAUAUUUUAUAAAAGCUGACAGUUUCUGUUAACUCAAGACUGAAUGGUACGAUUGGAAUGCUAUGCAACUUUGAUUUGUAAUAUGAAAAGAUUUGCAAUGAUAUGUGUAUUCAGAUAACUAAAAAAAACUUAUUACUGCUUAUAUUGUUUGACAGUUAAAGGUAACAUGUUUAAUACUUGCAGUAUUUGCUAUUGGUCUUAAGCUGUAAAAAGUUUAAUGGAACACAUGCCAUUAUAUCUCAACCAACAAUCACAAGUUAUCAGAAGGAGGAGAAAAAUCUGACUUAACACAUACCGAGCACUUAUUAGAAGGUAAAUAUAUUCCAGAGCAGAGUGAUUCAUUGAAAGAUUGCUUUUCUGUUUUGGAGAAAGACUUUAUACAAAAGAUAAAAGAAAGCAGCAAACAAACUCUUCUGAGCCCAUACUUACAAUAUAUAUUAUAGCUUGACAUGGCUUAUACUUACUACAUGAGGCUCAGUUUUCACAUAUAGAUCAUCAUGUUUUUGAGAA